UCAAACUUGGUCAUUUAGAGGAAGUAAAAGUCGUAACAAGGUUUCCGUAGGUGAACCUGCGGAAGGAUCAUUAUUGUGAAGGGAGUAAAUCUCCCUGGAGGGUUUUAACCCUUUCUACCCUUGAAUACUAUCUUUUUUGUUGCUUUGGCAGGCCCUGGGCAUGUGCCCACGCCAGCUGGGGAGUCUCCAGCCGGUGAGUGCCUGCCCAAAGCCACCCACCAUUCUUGUUUUAGGUGUUGUCAGAGAAAAGUAACAAAUUCUUCAAAAACUUUCAACAACGGAUCUCUUGGUUCUGGCAUCGAUGAAGAACGCAGC
rnacentral:misc_RNA from 1 species